UCUGGGAGAGCUUUGAACACGUUCCGAGGGAGGUGCUGGACACUGAGUCUAAGUAGACCAUGUUCCGUGCCUCUAUUGUUGAGGCAGCUCGUAGGAGCUGUGGCUGCAAGGUUGUGGGUGCAUGACGUGGCGGCAACACUCAAACACGCUGGUGGACACCAGCGGUGCGGGAAGCUGUCAAGUGAAGCGAUUCUGGUCCACAAUCCGGCGUCUGGGGGGGAGGAAGCAGUGCAGUACCAACACUAAUUAUAGUGGGGGUGGUGUAUUGCUGACCUCGAUUCGGGACGUUGUGUAUCAGUGUGCGGAGUACUUGAAAGACCUCCUUAAUCUCACCAACACAUCUUCCAUUGAGGAAGCAGAGCGGUCAGGUUCCCCAAUCUCUGGUGCUGAGGUCACUGAGGUGGUUAAAAAGCUCCUCGGUGGCAAGGCCCCAGGGGUGGAUGAGAUUCGCCCUGAUUACGUUAAGGCUCUGGAUGUUGUGGGGCUGUGUUGUUUAACGCAUCUCUCAAACAUUGCCCCAGGGACCCAAGGCCCCAGGGGCGGCCGGGCCCCGGGGGGUCAGGCCCCGCGAAGCAGCCGCCAGGAACAAGCCAAUAACAGCCCAGGCAUCCACCCCCAAACACCAAGCACCACCAGUGCACGGGAAAGCCCAAGCGCCAGCCAGCGGAGGGAGGGCAGGACGGGGGGAAUGGGCUUCGCACUUAGCAGAGACUUGACAUGUUCUUGGGAAAAAAAUAACUCACAUGGCCUUACUCACUUCCUCCCCCUCAAUACCCCAUUCGCCCCUCCCUCCAAACCCCUUUGGGGAGAGCGGAAAUGACAGCCCCAGCAACAGGAGGCCACCCAGCAACACCCUCCCGCCAAGAUCGCGGACCAGGCAGCUCACUCUUCCUCCAGGCCCUAGACUCCGGGCGCCGGGACAGCCCUGGAGCAGGGGAGGGUUAGGACAUCGACUGGUCAGUGUCUUUGUUUAAGGCUUCUUCUCGAUCUAAAAGACAACUCAAGACUGCCUGAGUCCCUGAGCAAGACCCUUAGCCCCAUAUGGCUCUCCAGGCACAGUAGGCUG